rnacentral:lncRNA from 1 species
UGCCUCAUAGUGCGCAUGCUUGAGCCCACUUACCUAACACCUGAGAUCUUAUUGGGACGCUGCUGAUAACCAGUUUCAGAGACAGGGUUUCACCAUGUUGUACAGGCUAGUCUCCAACCCCUGGGCUUAAGCAAUCCUUCUGCCUCGGCCUCCCAAAGUGCUGGGAUUACAGAAUAAAGUGCUACAUAAAAUUUAGCAUUGAGGUUUUAAUCUUAAUUUUCAAAGAGAUACUACAGUCUAUCCAAGUUAACGUAACAUUACUUUCUCAAUGAUCACAAUGAUACUGGGAGUUGACGAGGCUUGUAACAAUCUACUGGGAUGAUGUGAGCCUUUAUUAACCUCAUCAGAGAUGCUCAAGCACUGAAUUGUCUUAAGAAAACAAGUAAGGUUUUGUCACCUAUCCUAUUUCUCACUGCAAGUUGAAAAAAAUCAAAUCCAAACACCACCACCCCUUCUAUGACAACAAACGGCUGUGGAGGUAAUCUUAUUUUCCUAAGGGUAGUUUCAUGAUGACAGUGUCAAAAAAUUACUGUGGAUAAAGAAAAAAUUGUCUCAAUGAAAUAGAAUUUUUCACUGAACACAGAAACCAUCUCAAUAGUUGCUGCUCCCUGGUUUCCAGGCCACGCAACAGACAUCAAACCAGGAAGCCAAACUUUCAUGGACCUGUGUUAAGAAAAACACACAUACAUGGGCAUACUACUUUUUCCAGAAAAACGGAAUUAGGCAGAGAAGGAAGUGUGGGUGUACAACUGAUCCA